rnacentral:rRNA from 1 species
AACCGUGCGCUUACAAUCCGUCAAAGCCUUUGCACACUUCGGUGUGGUGGGUGAUGGCGUGCCUUUUGAAGAAUGAGCCAGCGAGUUAGUGGCAUGUCGCGAGGUUAACCCGUGUGGUGUAGCCGUAGCGAAAGCGAGUCCGAAUAGGGCGUUUUAGUGGCAUGUUCUAGACCCGAAGCGGAGUGAUCUACCCAUGGCCAGGUUGAAGCGACGGUAAGACGUCGUGGAGGACCGAACCCACUUAGGUUGAAAACUGAGGGGAUGAGCUGUGGGUAGGGGUGAAAGGCCAAUCAAACUCCGUGAUAGCUGGUUCUCCCCGAAAUGCAUUUAGGUGCAGCGUCGCGUGU